UUUCCGUAGGUGAACCUGCGGAAGGAUCAUUAGCGAGUAUGGCCCUCACGGGUCUAAUCCACCAUAAACACCUUUGUGAACCAGUCAGGGGGACUCGGCCGUGAAAGCCCAGGCGAUUAGCGGAAGGGCCCCCCUUUGCAAACCCGUUUAGAAGUCUUGAAAGUACUUUUGUAUAAUCUAGCAAAACUUAUAGCAACGGAUCUCUUGGCUCUCGCAUCGAUGAAGAACGCAGC
rnacentral:misc_RNA from 1 species